GCUGAUGGUCGCCGCCGUCCGCGGGAUGCAUUGGUAGCACGACGCAGUCAUUUCCCUUUGUCCAUUGUCCUCGUUGUGGUCGGUGAUGGGCCAUGGGAGGACAAUUUGAUGUGCAUCCGCAACAUCCGAUGCUGAUUCGAUGAUUUCCAGAUAAAGUCGACAGAAUACCUCGCUGAUGCGCCUCCAAUCGUGCCUAAAACCUCGCCGCCCGAAGCCUUAGGUCGCCGCCCGGCCGGCGUCGUGGACUGCGCGG